GUUGAACGCUGGCGGCGUGCCUAAUACAUGCAAGUCGAGCGAAUAGACGAGGAUCUUGCUCCUCUUAAGUUAGCGGCGGACGGGUGAGUAACACGUGGAUAACCUACCUAUAAGGCUGGGAUAACGUCGGGAAACCGGAGCUAAUACCGGAUCAUAUAUUAAACCGCAUGGAUCAUUAGUCAACGCCGGUUCUGCUGUCACUUAUAGAUGGAUCCGCGCCGCAUUAGCUAGUUGGUAAGGUAACGGCUUACCAAGGCAACGAUGCGUAGCCGACCUGAGAGGGUGAUCGGCCACACUGGAACUGAGACACGGUCCAGACUCCUACGGGAGGCAGCAGUAGGGAAUCUUCCACAAUGGGCGAAAGCCUGACGGAGCAACGCCGCGUGAGUGAUGAAGGUCUUCGGAUCGUAAAGCUCUGUAAUUAGGGAGGAACAAAUGUGUAAGUAACUAUGCACGUCUUGACGGUACCUAAUCAGAAAGCCACGGCUAACUACGUG
rnacentral:rRNA from 1 species